GGGCGCAGAUCUCUCUGCUUUGGUACGAGAAGCUUCUAUCUGUGCCCUGAGACAGGAAAUGGCAAGACAGAAGAGUGGAAAUGAAAAAGUAGAGACGGGGUUUCACCAUGUUAGCCAGGAUGGUCUCGAUCUCCUGACUUCGUGAUCCGCCUGCCUCGGCCUCCCAAAGUGCUGGGAUUACAGGUGAACUCAAGGUUAGUCAUAAGCAUUUUGAAGAAGCUUUCAAGAAAGUAAGAUCAUCUAUAUCAAAAAAGGAUCAAAUCAUGUAUGAACGUUUGCAGGAGUCCCUCAGCCGGUGAUGUCUCCAGCAGCCGGCUUAGAGGAGCUAGCCCAUCAAGCCGGCAGAGAAUCCCCCACACGCUCUGAAGGACCCACUUUCAGCUGGACACAGGCGCGGCCUCAUGUAAACAUUUUAUUUUCAAAUGAAUGAGGCCAAGCUGAAGCUGAAGCUGAAGAUUCUUCCCAUCUGGCCAGCCUUGUGUGAAAAUGCCUUCUUCCUCUUUAAGAAAAAGGACAAUUUUUAAACUGCUGAAAUAAAAUGACUGUUACAUUUUUCAAAUAAAACUUUUACUUUGAACUAUUUUGACUAUA
rnacentral:lncRNA from 1 species